rnacentral:rRNA from 1 species
CUUCGGGGACAGGAAGACAGGUGGUGCAUGGUUGUCGUCAGCUCGUGUCGUGAGAUGUUGGGUUAAGUCCCGCAACGAGCGCAACCCUUAUUGUUAGUUGCUACCAUUUAGUUGAGCACUCUAGCGAGACUGCCCGGGUUAACCGGGAGGAAGGUGGGGAUGACGUCAAAUCAUCAUGCCCCUUAUGUCUAGGGCUACACACGUGCUACAAUGGCCGGUACAACGAGAUGCAAUACCGUGAGGUGGAGCAAAACUAUAAAACCGGUCUCAGUUCGGAUUGUAGGCUGAAACUCGCCUACAUGAAGCUGGAGUUACUAGUAAUCGCGAAUCAGCAUGUCGCGGUGAAUACGUUCCCGGGCCUUGUACACACCGCCCGUCACACCAUGAGAGUUGGCAAUACCCAAAGUUGGUGAUCUAACCCGUAAGGGAGGAAGCCACCUAAGGUAGGGUCAGCGAUUGGGGUGAAGUCGUAACAAGGUAGCCGUAGGAGAACCUGCGGCUGGAUCACCUC